UUUUUCACAAUAGAUUCCUCCCUUAAAUACUCUCUCUCUCUUCUCUUCUAGAGUUCUAUUUAAAAUAAAAUACUAAUAUAUGAAAUAUUAAAUUCGUAAUUACAAAAAUAACCAAAAAUACAAAACACGUUAAACUAAAAACUGCAGGUUCGUAGUUGACAGCACACGCCCACGCCUUAUCAACAAAGUUCUUCUGACGCUCAUAAUUUCUCCAAGAGAACAAUCAUCCUUAAACGUCAUCUUGUAGCUCAAUUUUAUCACCAAUCAAUAGAAUUGCACCUACAAAAGUAAAACACAAGUAAAUCACUAUUAUUAAGUGCAAAACAUCGAUAUUAAGGGAAGUAAACAAUGCAAAACUAGUGCAUAAAUUGCACUCUAACUGCCACCUUAGUUUGUAUCUCAACUGAUGUGUCACUAAUAUAAUUUUACCAUUUGGAUGAGAAAAAGAUCACUAUUGCCAAUUAAACAGUACCAAUCAAUUGGAAUUCAAACUAAUGUAGCAUUUAUUUUUUUGUUUGAAAUCUGAAGUCUGGAUAAGUCUAAAUACAUAUAUAUGAUACUAUGUUUAUUUUUCAUUUUUUGUUGUCCAAGUGUAAGUGGUUAGCUAUUUGUUUUCAUAAAGUUAAAACAUCUUCUAUCUAGUAUUUUUGCACUUAUGUCCUUGAAUGUGUUAUAUGUUUGGAAAUUUAAGUAGGCAUAUAUUUACGUUGUUAACUAGUAUAGUAGUAUUUAUAUGUUAUAAAAAUCUAUAAGGAAAGCAUUUGAUAUAUAAUUUAUGACGUUAUUUUUUUACAAUUUAAUAUAAUAUUUAUACAUAAAAAGGUUGUUAUAUGAUAACAAAAUAAUUUGCCUAAAAUUCAAAUUGAUGUACAUUAGGCAUUUAAUACGAAAUAAAAGUUGAGAUCAAGAAAAAUCCUAAUAUGACAUCAAGUUGAGAUCAAGAGAAAUUCUAAUAUGACAUCUAAACUAUGUUAUAGUUAAUUUAAAAAAUCCUUCUAAAUAUAGGAAAAAAAUCAAUAGGUAAUUAUAUUUUACAUAAUAGGAUAGAAAUAAAUAAAUUUAAUUAGGGCAUUUGUAAGAAAAAAAUAAUUUUUCAUUCAAACAUUUGAUCAUUCAAAUAAAAGUCAAUUUUUCCAUUCAAAUGAAAAAGUGUUACAACAGACUUCAGAUACAAAAAUAACCAAGCAAAAAUAUCAAAACAUAUUUUCUUAAGCCAAAUUAAAACUUCAGGCAUACAAGUCCUAAGUUUAUUAAAUUAUUAAGGUUACAAUAUGAAUUUUAAAAAGUUAUGGUGACUUAUUUAAUAAGCUAUUUAUAAAAAGUAACAUUUUAUUUGUUUUAAAAGUUUCUGUCAAAUUACGGAAACUUAUGAAAUAAAAGUUUUUUAAAAAUUUACCAAACACUAUUUUUGUCAAAAGUUAUAAAAUAAAUCGCUUAUAACAUUUCAACCUUAAUCUCAAAUGGAGUCUUAAUCUCAUUUUUUUCCCUUAAAGAUUGAGAUUGAAGAACCACAAAAAAAUUGAGGAGGAUUAACCAACACUAUUUGAUUAGCAAACCAACAUGUGAGGUUUCUUUCAAAAAAGUAUUCAAGAAGAUUCAGCAUAAUCAUGAGUAACUUAAACAACAAAUUGAUAUUGAGUGACACACAAUAAUUUUAUUUAAUUAUUUAGUUCAAGAAAAAUAAAGUACAUAAAUGUGAAGAAGAAAAUGUCUUAUAUAUAUAAUUGAAGUAGACCGACAUACACUCACACAAACGACAUGUAAUAAUACUCAUUGCAUCUUUUUAUUUAAUGAAACAUAACAAAAAGAGUAGCGGUAUGAGAAAAAUCCUCAAAUCAUGGUGACUGAUACGUUCCUUUUACGUUAUCAACUUUCUUUUAUAACGUGGUCUUUUGAGCUCGCCGCAUGAAUAAUAUGAGAGUGAAUUUACAUUUUCUAUAUCGCUUGCCUAAAGUUUUCACACUUUGAAUACUGUUUUACUGAAGAGACCUAUUGAAAAUUCUAAAAAUAAAUUUUUACUCAACAGACUCUCUUAGAAAUAAAAAAAUUAUCCUAGAUUAAAUCUCUUUUCACUUUACAUUUAUAUUCUCUCUCUAUACCCAACUAACAAUUGAUAAAAAAAAAAUGAUCAAAUAAGAAUUAAAUUUAUUGGAUAAUAGACUAUAAGUAAUUUUCCCUGCAUCUUAAUUAAUCAGUGUGUCUAUUAGAGGAUAUUCAAUUCAGCAAAUUUUUCCAUCAAUACUCUAUCAUCAUUAACCAGAAGCCAAUCAGACAAAUAUUUUUUGUUCUCAUAAAUAUCAAUGAAGUUGGGAGAGAAUUCCGAGACUAAACGAGUAGUAUGUUUUUAACUUGCCAGUAUAACACCUUAAGUAAGAGAAAAAUGAGUUAAUGCCUUUCUUGCUACAGCUAAAAGUGGUAGGAUUUCUUGGAAUCGAUUAAAACAAACUUAAAUAAAAAUAGAUGAAAACUCCUUUAUGGUUACACAAAAUUGUCCUUUACGAUCAUUUAUAUAAUAGGUAUUCUAAGAGUUUAUUUAUUUUUUUAAAUUUGAGCAUUCAGAAUAAUUUCUCAAAUAAAAAUACUCCCACUAAUAAAAUUAAUUCAUAUACCAAUCGAGAAUAAACAUAAAUUAAUUUGGUUGUAGCAUUAAAUUAUUGAAAUGGUAUUUUUUGGAAAAAAUAAAUUAUUGAAAUGAUGGGCUCCUUGCAAUCAGUGAUACAUUUGUCGUAGCGGUUUUGCAUGAUAGUAGGGUAUUACUUUUUAAUGUUUCCCUAACCUACAGAGAGAACAAUAAUGUAGUAGUCACUUCGGCUAAUUUGGGUCUUAGUUGUCAUAAUUCAGCUGAUGGGGCUCACCGCCUGUUGAAACUGGAAGCUUUAUUUAUAAAGAUGCCAAUGGUUUCCCCAACUAUAGAUUUCAUUGGCUUUCUUCCUUUUUGAUUGUUGCUUCUUUUACAAAGCCUUGGUUCUUUUUUAUUUUAGCACGAUGCAGUUUUUUAGGGGUAAGGCCUAUUUCGAGCGCCUGACUUGUAUUGGUUUUUUAUACUUUUUAUUUAAAAAGAAAGUUUUCCUUGAUUUGCAAGGUUAAUCUUUUUAAAAAAGAAAAAGGUUAGUACCAAUCUCAUUUUUUGUUGAUUGAGAGUGAAGAAACCGCAUCAUUGGAAGAAUCACUAACACUAUUUGAAUUAGUAACUACAGUUUGCAUAAUCAUGACUAACUUGGAUAACAAACUGACACAUAGCAGUAUUAUUUUUUUAAUUCAAAGAUGUUGAUUUUCGAGCAAGAAUCAAUAUAAAAAUUUGAAAAUCCGAAUUUAAACACAUAUCCGGAUUAUAUGCGGAAAAUCGAUAAACUAAUGUUGCGCUACUGAUUUAUGGUCGGAGGAUGAUCACAAAGUCGGAAAAUUCUCUCAAUUCACGUUGCAAGAACCCUCUAAGCUUUUCUUGGCUUGAAUUUUCUCCAAAUUGCACUUUUCUCAUUUUUUGCUUAACUUCUCUUAACUUAUUUUCUCUAUGGAUCUGCCCUCUAUUUAUAGCAUUCCAAGAAUAAUGAUUAUCUUCUCAAUGAUCACCUAAUAAGCUUAAACAAUUGUUGGAGUGAUCAUCUUCUUAAUGAUCACUUAAUAUCUUUCAAUAUAAUAUUGUAAGAUAUUAUAGAGUUCUAACUCAAAAUGAUCACUUGCUAUUGGUUAUGCAUCCCUCAUGGGUGACCUCAAAGUAAUAGAACCCUGUAUAUAAAUAUAUAUUUACAUAUAUAUUUCCAACAUCUCCCACUCACACAUGAUGUGAUGUUUAUGGUGCAACGAGAACUAUCUGUUCAAGCCUCAAAACUCAAUUAUCAUACUAGCAAAUGCAACGUGUGACCCAUGAACAAUAAGCAAGAGUUUUAUUGCUUUGAAUCUCAAUUGUAUUCUAUACAAAAGAGUUGUUCAUCAUAUAUCCUAGAUUCCAUAUUAUUACAUCAAAUUCAAGCAUACUAAGUCCCAUAUCAAAAGUUAUGCUUGACAAUAUACACUCUAUGUAAUCACAAUUGUAUCAAUCCUAGAUUAUACAAUCGGUACCAGUGAAAAACAUAAGGUAGAUGUAAGUAAUGAAUCUUCCCAUCACACUCAUAUUUCUUAGUUUUAGAUUAACUGCUUUCCUAGACUUGUUUCAUAAACCGAAUAACAUCAUCGCUUUAGAAAACAAGUUUCAAGUAGCAAACACUAAUCUAUCACCUCAAAAUAUAGUUGAUAGUAUGUAAGGAUACCUUUUGAGGUUUAUAAUACCUUAAAGAAACUUUAAACAAUGAGAAAUAAGGGAAAUUUUCUCAUUUUUCUUUAUUUGGUCAUCAAAGCACACGUUGUAUGAAAUACGUGCUACAGUGAAUUCUCUUUUCUGAGAGUGUAUGUCUAAAUUAUUUCACCGUACAGAUCUUAGUUCAGUCGUUACUCAAGCACCUAACCUGAGUUUUUAAUAAGUUCGCUUAUCUAAAGUGCCAAAUUAAAGACUCACAUCUGGCUUUAAAUCAGGUUUCCAUCAUGAUUGGGUAUAUUAGGGUCGGUUUUAUUUUUAUAUGUUGAUUUUCAAGCAAGAAUCAACAUAAAAACUUGAAAAUCUGAAUUUAAACACAUACCCGGAUUAUAUGCGGAAAACCGAUAAACCAAGUUUGCGCUACUGAUUUAUGGUUGGAGGAUGAUCACAAAGUCGGAAAAUCCUCUCAAUUCACGUUGCAAGAACCCUCUAAGCUUUUCUCGGCUUGAAUUUUCUCCAAAUUGCAAUUUACUUAUUUUUUGCUUAAC
rnacentral:lncRNA from 1 species